UACGUAGGGGGCAAGCGUUGUCCGGAAUCAUUGGGCGUAAAGAGCGUGUAGGCGGCCAGAAAAGUCCGCUGUGAAAACUCGAGGCUCAACUUCGAGCUGUCGGUGGAAACUUUCUGGCUAGAGUCCGGAAGAGGAGAAUGGAAUUCCUGGUGUAGCGGUGAAAUGCGCAGAUAUCGGGAGGAACACCGGUGGCGAAGGCGGUUCUCUGGGCCUUACCUGACGCUGAGGAGCGAAAGCGUGGGGAGCGAACAGG
rnacentral:rRNA from 1 species